GCCAGAUCCUAUGAUGCUGGAGGAUGUCAAACCUCUCCCAGACAACUUGGCUACCUGAAGAACCCUUUGGAAUAAACUGAGUGAACAUGAGGAAGUGUGGUCUCAAAUGAAAGGAGAGAUUUUGAAGGAAUAAAAAGUAAUGAGCAGGUGUCCAAGGAAAAGCAACAGUCUCUGCCAAAUGCUCCUCUGCAAAGCUGGUUUUCCUCAGUUUUUCAAUCUCCAAGUCUUUGGUUAAUCUUCACUACUCCAAAGGCAGCAUCAAAAAGAUUAAAAUCCAAAUAAAGAAUAAUCCCUUGCUACCAUCUCAUCUCUUUUGAAUCUAAUCUUCCCCAGAGAACAAAACUCGCCCUUGCUGAAAAACUGGACGCACGAGGUACGGAAGAGAGCGGGAUAGUGCCGCUUAAUUGCAAAAUACUUUCUUAAAAAGCCUAAGCACCAAAGCUCUGCCAUUUUGAAAUUAGGUUUCUCUGGGCUCAGCAAGAGUUUGCUCUUUCUGUAUGUGCUCUGCUCAUACAUCUGAAACCAUCUCUGCAAAUUAACAAGCACCUAAAGAGUUUCUCCUCAUCCCAACCAAAUACUAUCUCCCUGGGAAAGCCCAGAUCCCUGUUGGCUCAGGCUUUUGUCUCGGUCAAACCCAUCCUGACUCUAAAAUGAAUACUUUUUCUUGCCAAACCCAACCAUGGCUCCAUGCCAGCAAUACCAUCUGCUACACCUGGGCUGCCACAGUAUAAACCAGCUGCCGCCACACCACACACGAGACCAAGCCUUCCCACAGGGCACUUUGACCCUAAAUUCCAGACUGUUGUUUCCCACUCAGCCCCACAGUGAACAGCAAUAUUUAGAAAUUCAAGCUGAAGUUUAGAUGACAUUAGACUGGUAUUAAGUUCAGAUCCUGCCUUAGCACUCACCUCUUCUACUCCUUGGAAGAAAAGCUAUGACCAACCUAGACAGCAUAUUAAAAAGCUGAGGACCUUUGCAUUACCAGCAAAGGUCCGUCUAGUCAAAGCUAAGAUUUUUUCCAGUAGUCAUGUAUGGAUGUGAAAGCUGGAUUAUAAAGAAAGCUGAGCGCUGAAGAAUUGAGGCUUUUGAACUGUGGUGUUGGAGAAGACUCUUGAGAGUCCCUUGGACUGCAAAGAGAUCCAACCAGUCCAUCCAAAAGGAAAUCAGUCCUGAAUAUUCACUGGAAGGACUGAUGCUGAAGCUGAAAUUCCAAAUGCUUUGACCACCUGAUGUGAAAAACCAACUCAUUGGAAAAGACCCUGAUGCUGGAAAAGAUUGAAGGUGGGAGGAGAAGGGGAUGACAGAGGAUGAGAUGGUUGGAUGGCAUGACCGAUGUGAUGGACAUGAGUUUGAGUAGGCUCCGGGAGUUGGUGAUAGACAGGGAAGCCUGGCGUGCUGCAGUCCAUGGGGUCGCAAAGAGUUGGACACGACUGAGCAACUGAAUUGAACUUAACUUCUGCCUAUACAUUUUCCAGCCAAGAAAGCUACAGUUAAGGAAUAGUAACCAGUGAGGAAAAUCAUCACUUUAUUAACAGUCAAGCCAGCACUUGAUAAGUCCUAAUGCUAAGGUCUGACAGAACCUAGACUGAAGAAUGUGAUUUAGUGACUUCUGACAGCUUUGGCCACCUGAUGCGAAGAGCAGACUCAUUCAAAAAGACCCUGAUGCUGGGAAAGAUUGAGGGCAGGAGGAGAAGGGGACAACAGAAGAUAAGAUGGUUGGAUGGCAUCACCAACUCAAUGGACAUGGGUUUGGGUGGACUCCAGGAGUUGGUGAUAGACAGGGAGGCCUAGUGUGCUGCCGUUCACGGGGUCGCAAAGAGUCAGACAUGACUGAGAAACUGAACUGAACUGAACUGACAGCCUAAAUGAGACUUCCCAUCUCUUCCCCUCUAUUUAAAAUGGCAAGGUCUAAAGAGAAAACAGACUCUAUCAUUAUGCAACCACCCAGUAGCAGACAUGGAAGUGGGGAAAAAGAGAGUGAGUCUUGUCUGGACAGCUCAACACAAUUCAAGAUGCAAAAGAAGAAGAAUGUACCAGUUUUAAAAAGACAGCCACCAUGGAAAACAGUAUGGUGGUUUCUCAAAAAAUAAAAAUAGCACUACAUUGUGAACCCACAAUUCCACUCCUGGUUAUAUAUCUGGGAAAAAAAUUAAAACACUAAUUUAAAAGAUACAUGUACCACCAAGUUCAUAGCAGCACUAUUUACAAUAGCAACAUAAAGAAACAAUCCAAGUGUCUAUCAACACACAAAUGGAUAAAAACAAAGAUGUGGUAUAUUUAUACAAUGAAAUAUUACUCAGCCAUAGAAAAGAAUGAAAUUCUGACAUUUGCAGCAACAUGAAUGGACUUCAGAGUAUUAUGCUUAGUGAAAAGUCAGAGAAAGACAAGUAGUGCUUGAUAUCACUUACACGUGUAAUGUAAAAACAAAACAAAGGAUGAAUGUAGCAAAUCAGAAAUAGACUCACAGAUACAGAAAACAAACUAGUAAUUACCAGUAGGGAGAAGGAAGGGGGGAUGCAAGAUAGGGGUAUGGGAUUGGGAGAUGCAAACUACUAUGUAUAAAAUAUAUGAGUAACAAGGAUACAUUGUACAGCACAGGGAAUUAUUUUGUUUUGUAAUAACUUUUAAUGCAGUAUAAUCU
ensembl:lncRNA